rnacentral:tRNA from 1 species
AUUUAUAUAGUAUAAUAAGUAUACAUGACUUCCAAUCAUGAGGUUUAAACAUUUUAAUAUAAAUA